GCGGUAGAGGGGUUCUGCAGGAGUGACCUGAGAUCACAUAUGGCGUUAUGUGUUGCGCUUGAUGUGUUCUCAGGUCGCCCCUGCGGUACCUUCUCUACCAC